UACAAUUUUACUUGCUUUCCGGCGCGAGUUUUUAUUCUAUUUCAUGAUUUAUUUACUUAUUACUGUAGUUUAUUCGUUUUUUCUCCAUUGCUACAGAUUGAAGAGGUAAUUCAAGUUCAUUUUGAUGCUACUGAAAAACCAAGUUAUAUUGUGGCGUUCUAGCUGUUAACUUGUCAUCUUGAAGGAUCCUGUAGAUAAUUAAGGAACAUUAGAAAAACUGCUGAUGCCAUUAAGUUAUGGAGGAUUGAUUGUAUUAGUCUUCAUUCGCUCUAAAGCAUAGUUGUACCUAUGCUCCUAAAAAAAGCAUGAAUGUGACUUCCAUUGUGGACAGAGACAGUGUGUUGUUGCUAAACGAAGGAUUUUUGACAAUGAACUGGGGUGGCAAAAGCAGAACAGCAGAAUUAAUGUGGAAAUGACCUUUCAGUUAGUGUAAAAGUUAGCUUAAAACAAACUAAUUUAUUUUAUCUAUUUAUUAAACCUAUAAUUUAUA